rnacentral:rRNA from 1 species
GUGCCAGCAGCCGCGGUAAUACGUAGGUGGCAAGCGUUGUCCGGAUUUAUUGGGCGUAAAGGGAGCGCAGGCGGUCUUUUAAGUCUGAAUGUGAAAGCCCUCAGCUUAACUGAGGAAGAGCAUCGGGAACUGAAAGACUUGAGUGCAGAAGAGGAGAGUGGAACUCCAUGUGUAGCGGUGAAAUGCGUAGAUAUAUGGAAGAACACCAGUGGCGAAGGCGGCCUUCUGGACAGAUACUGACGCUGAGAUGCGAAAGCGUGGGGAGCAAACAGGAUUAGAUACCCUGGUAGUCCACGCUGUAAACGAUGUCGAUUUGGAGUUUGUUGCCCUGAGUGAUGGGCUCCGAAGCUAACGCGAUAAAUCGACCGCCUGGGGAGUACGGCCGCAAGGUUAAAACUCAAAUAAAUUGACGG